CAAAGUUGGAAAUAAUUUAGAUUUACAUCAUCCUUCAUCAGAUGUUAUAUUUUUUUACAACUUGUUUGAAAGCAUUUAUCUGAAAGUGGAAGAGUCGUGUCAACUGGAAGUGCAAUUAAAUUGUAAACUUUUAUUUGUAUUUUUUCAACUGCUCAAUUUGUAUAAAUUAUUAAAUAAAAUUAUGAACCUAAAACAACUUGAUUUUAAUUGUGAAAUAUAAACAUUUAUUUUGAAA